rnacentral:rRNA from 1 species
AGGGUAUGAUACUGGCUCAGAACGAACGCUGGCAGUGUGCCUUAUACAUGCAAGUCGAGCGAGAAACCCGGCUUCGGCCGGGGAGUACAGCGGCAAAAGGGUGAGUAACGCGUGGGUAAGCUGCCUUCGGGAUCGGGAUAACGGCGGCCGCUUCGGCGGCCCUUCGGCGAAAGCGCCGCUAAUACCGUAUGCCGAUACAGCGGCAUCUUCUUAUUCGUAAGCAGAUAGCCGCCGUGUUGAAAGGUCGUCGGGUUCGCCCGGCGUCUGCCCGAAGAGGCGCCCGCGUCCUAUUAGCUUGUUGGUGAGGUAACGGCUCACCAAGGCGGCGAUGGGUAGCCGGCGUGAGAGCGUGGCCGGCCACAUUGGGACUGAGACACUGCCCAAAGACCUACGGGUUGCUGCAGUAGGGAAUAUUGCACAAUGAGCGAAAGCUUGAUGCAGCGACGCUGCGUGGGGGAAGAAGGCCUUCGGGUUGUAAACUCCUGUCAGGGGUUAUGAAAUCCGCAUGAAGAAACUCAUGUGGUUGACGAAAGCCCCAGAGGAAGCCAUGGCUAACUCCGUGCCAGCAGCCGCGGUAAUACGGAGAUGGCAAGCGUUGUUCGGAAUCACUGGGCGUAAAGCGCGCGUAGGCGGUCGAGCAAGUUGGGUGUGGAAUCGUCCGGCUCAACCGGACGGGGACGCCCAAAACUGCUGGACUGGAGCACGGUAGGGGAGAGUGGAACUCCUGGUGGAGCGGUGACAUGCGUAGAUAUCAGGAGGAACGCCGGCGGUGAAGACGACUCUCUGGGCCGUUGCUGACGCUGAGGUGCGAAAGCCAGGGGAGCGAACGGGAUUAGAUACCCCGGUAGUCCUGGCCGUAAACGAUGGGCACUUGGUAGUGGGGGCAACUUCACUGCCGGAGCUAACGCGUUAAGUGCCCCGCCUGGGUAGUACGGCCGCAAGGCUAAAACUCAAAGUAAUUGACGGGGCCUCGCACAAGCGGUGGAGCACGCGCCUUAAUUCGAGCAACGCGAGGAACCUUACCAGGGUUUGACAUGCAAGUGGUACGAACCUGAAAGGGAGAGGACCCAGGUUUUGCCUGGGAGCUUGCACAGGUGUUGCAUGGCUGUCGUCAGCUCGUGUCGUGAGAUGUUGGGUUAAGUCCCAUAACGAGCGAAACCCUUGUCGCUAGUUGCUACCGGGUAAUGCCGAGGACUCUAGUGAGACUGCCGGCGUCAAACCGGAGGAAGGUGGGGAUGACGUCAAGUCAUCAUGACCCUUAUGCCCUGGGCUGGACGCAUGCUACAAUGGCCGGUACAAAGGGAAGCGAUGCCGCAAGGUGGAGCGAAGCUCUAAAAGCCGGUCCCACUUGGAAUCGGGGGCUGCAAUUCGCCCCCGUGAACCUGGAAUCGCUAGUAAUCGCGGAUCAGCAAUGCCGCGGUGAAUGUGUGCCCGAGGCUUGUACACACCGCCCGUCAAGUCAUGGAAGCUGGGAGCACGCUAAGUCGUGGAUCCAACCCGUUUCGGCGGGGGGGUCGCGCCCACCGUGAGCUCGGCAACUGGGACUAAGUCGUAACAAGGUA